GCACCCGUAAACCCUGAACAAGUGAAUUUCCAAUAGAGCAAAUAUCCGACUGAGUCUAUUUCCCGACCCCUUUCGCCUUGAUAGGGCGCCCAUCGAACGCGGUAACGUUAGUUCGAUGGAAGGUGUAUAUCGGUGGAUGUACCGGCUGUAGAGGACAUGCUAAUACGACACUUCUUUCACUGGUGUUCCUUGAAGCUGGUUGCUUAAAGAUCUUGAUUUCACUUAGCGUAAACGAAACACGAAUGGCGAACAAGGUACGCAGAUGGGCCGGGAUUAUUCGCGAACUCACUGGUAAACAUCGGCGGUCAACUUGCGUAUGAUCCUUGUGUGACACAUCAGUGUCCGUGCGUCACAUGGGGCAGGACGGUCCGACGCCAGAUGGUGUAAAUGACGUGACAAGGGAUAGGAUGCGACAAGCAACGCAUCGAUAUAUACAUUGCCUUUCCGUGGCACCAGGUCGGGCGUCGGGGUUUCGCAAACGGUCCGAUGAUGAAGCCUUUAAAGAUCCUAUGAUUCGACGAAUUCGUCUCCGGAAAGCUGUUUAGACCUUGC